AUACGGAGGGUGCAAGCGUUAAUCGGAAUUACUGGGCGUAAAGCGCGCGUAGGCGGCUGAUUAAGUCGGAUGUGAAAUCCCUGGGCUCAACCUAGGAACUGCAUCCGAUACUGGUCAGCUAGAGUUUUGGAGAGGUAAGUGGGAUUUCCGGUGUAGCGGUGAAAUGCAUAGAGACCGGAAGGAACACCAGUGGCGAAGGCGACUUACUGGCCAAAAACUGACGCUGAGGUGCGAAAGCGUGGGUAGCGAACAGGAUUAGAAACCCCGGUAGUCC
rnacentral:rRNA from 1 species